GAAGAAAAGAAGAAAGUCAUUGUGGCUCUUGGAAACGUCAGCUAGAGAGAAGGAGAGGGUGUGAGAUAGAGAGAGAAGAGAAAGGAGGAGGAGAAGAAGAAGAAGAAGAGAAAAGGGAUUCAAAUCCUAGGUGAAUUGGAUUACAUGUGUUGUGUGAUGAAUGAGAAGGGAAGGUUGCUAGCGUGCUGAACGCAACGCAACAGAGAAGUUACUAAGGAUAUGACGUAACUCAAAGGGCGGACACGCCGAGGUUAUUCAAUGACCUGAUAUCUUGUUGACCUCAUAGAGGAGGUUUUCCUUAAGAUCUGACAUUGACAACAGAGGUAAUACAUAGGGUUUCUCUCUCGCAUCCGUUGUGAAGUUGAGAGUUCCGACCCCUGAGUAUGUAUGGCGUGGGGGUUUCCUAUGAACGAAUAAACGAUCAACAUAAGCAUCGAGUUUUAAGGAACUAUUUUAUGGAGUUUAAUUUAAAUAUGCCAGCGGGCCUUAAAUUUUUUUUUCUUUAAACAUUGCAUAUGAACAAUUUAUUUUAAUUUUAAAUUAUUGGGCCCAAACAUGCAUGUCAUACCUUUUUGCUUUUCUUGUUAC